rnacentral:rRNA from 1 species
AGGGUUCGAUUCUGGCUCAGGAUGAACGCUGGCGGCGUGCUUAACACAUGCAAGUCGAACGAACCUUAGGGUUAGUGGCGGACGGGUGAGUAACGCGUGGGAAUCUGCCCUCAGGAGGGGGAUAACGGCUGGAAACGGCCGCUAAUACCCCAUAUGCCGAGAGGUGAAAUGAAUUUCGCCUGAGGAUGAGCCCGCGUCUGAUUAGCUUGUUGGUGAGGUAAUGGCUCACCAAGGCUUCGAUCAGUAGCUGGUCUGAGAGGAUGAUCAGCCACACUGGGACUGAGACACGGCCCAGACUCCUACGGGAGGCAGCAGUGGGGAAUUUUCCGCAAUGGGCGAAAGCCUGACGGAGCAACGCCGCGUGAGGGAUGAAGGCCUCUGGGCUGUAAACCUCUUUUCUCAAGGAAGAAGAUCUGACGGUACUUGAGGAAUAAGCCACGGCUAAUUCCGUGCCAGCAGCCGCGGUAAUACGGGAGUGGCAAGCGUUAUCCGGAAUUAUUGGGCGUAAAGCGUCCGCAGGCGGCCUUUCAAGUCUGCUGUUAAAGCGUGGAGCUUAACUCCAUCAAGGCAGUGGAAACUGUUGGGCUUGAGUGUGGUAGGGGCAGAGGGAAUUCCCGGUGUAGCGGUGAAAUGCGUAGAUAUCGGGAAGAACACCAGUGGCGAAGGCGCUCUGCUGGGCCAUAACUGACGCUCAUGGACGAAAGCCAGGGGAGCGAAAGGGAUUAGAUACCCCUGUAGUCCUGGCCGUAAACGAUGAACACUAGGUGUCGGGGGAAUCGACCCCUUCGGUGUCGUAGCCAACGCGUUAAGUGUUCCGCCUGGGGAGUACGCACGCAAGUGUGAAACUCAAAGGAAUUGACGGGGGCCCGCACAAGCGGUGGAGUAUGUGGUUUAAUUCGAUGCAACGCGAAGAACCUUACCAGGGUUUGACAUCCUGCGAACCUCUAAGAAAUUGGAGGGUGCCUUCGGGAACGCAGUGACAGGUGGUGCAUGGCUGUCGUCAGCUCGUGUCGUGAGAUGUUGGGUUAAGUCCCGCAACGAGCGCAACCCACGUUUUUAGUUGCCAGCAUUCAGUUGGGCACUCUAGAGAGACCGCCGGUGAUAAACCGGAGGAAGGUGUGGAUGACGUCAAGUCAUCAUGCCCCUUACAUCCUGGGCUACACACGUACUACAAUGCUACGGACAAAGGGCAGCGAACUCGCGAGGGCAAGCAAAUCCCAUAAACCGUGGCUCAGUUCAGAUCGUAGGCUGCAACUCGCCUACGUGAAGGAGGAAUCGCUAGUAAUCGCAGGUCAGCAUACUGCGGUGAAUACGUUCCCGGGCCUUGUACACACCGCCCGUCACACCAUGGAAGUCGGCCACGCCCGAAGUCGUUACUCCAACCCUUGUGGAGGAGGACGCCGAAGGUGGGGCUGAUGACUGGGGUGAAGUCGUAACAAGGUAACC